rnacentral:rRNA from 1 species
CCUACGGGUGGCUGCAGUCGAGAAUUUUUCUCAAUGGGCGAAAGCCUGAAGGAGCGACGCCGCGUGGGGGAUGAAUGGCUUCGGCCCGUAAACCCCUGUCAUUUGCGAACAAACCCUGCCAUUUAAAAGAUGGCAGGCUGAUUGUAGCGAAAGAGGAAGGGACGGCUAACUCUGUGCCAGCAGCCGCGGUAAUACAGAGGUCCCGAGCGUUGUUCGGAUUCACUGGGCGUAAAGGGUGCGUAGGUGGUUGGGUAAGUCUAAUGUGAAAUCUCCGA